AAUUGGGAAUCCCCGGAACCUUUACGUCGACAGCACUCGUCCCCGUGGGGACGGGGCGGGUAGUAAAGGUCGGACCCAGACCAUAAGUCACCGACGGCGUGGUGGAUUGAAUCCUUACACCUACAACUAUUGAGCAAGACGUAGCACCAUUCUACUGAUUGUUUAAAGCUCGGGCAGACGGGCGCUGUAUUCAAGUAGUCCUACACGGUGUGACGGGGAUCAGGCCUGGGCUGGUGGGGGCUCAGGAUCACUUCUAACAAUGGAGAUUACCUGACAGCACGUCCCCGCACAGAUUGUGCUGUGGACUACUGAAGAACGUGAUUAGGCAAAUGUUUAAAUUGACGGCAUGAUAAACUUAGAAGAAAGAAGAAUGACGUUACGAAUGAAAGAGAAAGUAUAUGUUAAGAUGAAAAUCCAGUUUUUAAAGACGAUUUUCCACGUGGAAUACAAACUACUGGUGCCCAAGCAGUGGUAUUUUGCAGAAGUUGGAAGAGUCAUGAAGGUAAAUAUUACGGAGUUAACUUAAGCUCAAAACUGUCUAAUAGUGAACAUACAUGUUUUAAGACCAAAA